CUUAAACUCCUCAUCACCUUUGGCUCAAGGUGCAUGCCUUCAGAACCUCAGGACCUUUCUGAACUGAAUCUUGAGGUCAGAGCACUUAUUCUGAUGUUUAAUAUGUGGCCAACUGACUGAACAAGGGG